UGUAUUAAUUAUAAGUAUUAGUCAUUAGUCAAAUUAAUAAUAAAAUUAGCUAAUUGAAGAUAAUUAAAAAUUAUUUAAAUUAAUUAAGGUUUUGACAUGGUUGUGGUGAGAAACAAGUCAAAGGAAGGCCUUCGAAGAUAGGACAAUACUUGUAGCACUAACCUUUCGAGUGCCCGACCUCCUUUAUCGCUACCUCCACCACAGUCGACACCCUUACUAUUGCAUCCUCCCUCUAGACGAAGGACUCCCAUUACUCCAAUAAUAGAUAUUGAGGUAUAGUCAAAGGAGGAGGUACUAAGAUUGAGAACCCCCACUACUCCAGACAAUGAUAUUGCGUCCAAUAUCAUGUCGCAGUCUAAGGGUUAAAGGUUGAGUCUUGGCUUGCCGACUCUGACGCAUCCGGACCGACAAAUAUUACUACAUCCUCUCAGAGAUAGUACUUCCAAGGAGAUUGGCGUUACUCUCAUAAUUGCAAGGAUUAUCAAGAAUAACUUCAGUGGGCUUUAGCAUACAUAAAGGCAAGUUCCUUCGAAGCAUAAGGAUAACAUGUGGUGAAAAUUCAAAAAAUGACAGAGGUGAAGUCCAUAUGGGAGAAAAUUUGCAAGGAUCAUCUUAAGGACCUAUUAGCGGAUAAGCACGAUUAGGCGAAGAGAGAAACGGGUGGCCUUGACGUUGAUCUCGUAUUAACGAAGGGUAAAGCGUGACCGUGGAUCAUAACUGAGGUAUGGGACCAACUUAUUGAUCAAGUAUGGUCAAUGUCGGAGUGGCAAGCAUGAUCAUGCAAGGCAAAGCAAAACCACCUCACCAAAAAGGAUAGUAGUGUGGCAAAACAUAUAAGUGGUUCUUUACCUUUCGCCUUUUACCAUAAAAGGAUGGAAGAGGAAAAAAAGCGACAAGUUACAUUCUCUGACCUCUUCAAAUACACUCACAAACGACAAAAGGGUGCUGAGGGAUUUAUGGACAACAAGUCCAAGAUUGCUUCUAUAAGUAAUACGAAUCAUACACUUCGGCAAUAGUGAAGAAGUAUGGUGCGGAGCCGUCGAGCCAACUGGACUUUGAUCCAAAGGCAUGGAUCAAGCCCAUUGGAAGGUUGAUGAGUACUUGGACUAACAUAAACAGAUUUGGCACUCGAGUCCUUUCUUUGAGACUUCUGGCUACAACCAUGACGUCUAAGUCUGCUUGUGGACCAAAUGAUGCAUCACCUCCUAUGUCGACUCCCGUGCCUGAGCGCAAAGGAUAUCAACAAUUGCUUAGCAAUGUGACGACCUUGAUGACAGGUUUAACUGAUAUUAAGGGUUUGUUGAUGGAUGUAAUUGGAUCAAGGAGAUCGCAGCCUCAGCCAGACGAGUUUGGGCCUUUGCAACCUCCACCAUAACAAUAGCCACACCCACCCUUUCAAUGAGAUUUGUAAACAGAAUAUUUAGAUUAUUAUUUGAUUUUUACAGUUGAAUAUUUUUAUUAAUAACAAUUUCUAUUAGAUUUUCAUA